ensembl:lncRNA
AAAAUAUUUGGGAGUAAUCAGGGGUGUGAAUAUGGCAUGAACGUUUUCUGAAGUGAUUGAAACAACAGUAACUUUCUUUUUUGUUAAAAUUACUAUUGGGUUAUGUAGGAGAAUUUUUUGCUCCCUUAGAAAAUGAAUAUUGAAGGUUUAGGCCUGAGUAACUGUGACCCCUACAAUCCACUUUCAGAAGGUUCAGGAGGACGUGUGAAUGUGUAUGUGUGUGUGAGAGAGAGCACGUGUGUGUGCCUCUGCUUAGGCCUGUGUGUGUCUGUGUGUCUGUGCAGGCCUUGGUGUGUGUAUGUAUCCGUGUAGGCUUAUCUAUAUGUGUGUGUCUGUGUAGGCCUGUGUGUGUGUAUAUGUGUGUAGACCUGUGUAUGUCUGUGUAGGCCUGUGUGUGUGUGUAGGCCUGUGUGUGUGUGUGUAUAUCUGUGUAGGCCUCCGUAUGUGUGUAUGUAUCUAUGUAGGCCUGUAUAUGUGUCUGUGUAGGCCUGUGUGUGUGUCUGUGUAGGCGUGUGUGUGUGUGUGUGAGUGUGAGCAUGUAGGCCUGUGUGUGUGUCUGUGUAGGCCUGUGUGUGUGUGUCUGUGUAGGCGUGUGUGUGUGUGUGUAGGCCUGUGUGUAUGUGUAGGCCUGUGUGUGUAUAUGUGUAGGCCUGUGUGAGUAUGUGUUUCUGUGUAGGCCUGUGUUUGUGUGUAUCUGUGUAGGCCUGUGUAUGUGUGCAUUUGUGUAGGCCUGUGUGUCUGUAUGUGUGUAGGCCUGUGUGUGUAUGUGUAUCUGUGUAGGCCUGUGUAUGUGUGUGUUUGUGUAGGCCUGUGUGUCUGUGUGUGUGUGUGUCUGUGUGUGUAGGCCUGUGUGUGUGUGUAGGCCUGUGUGUGUAUAUGUAUCUGUGUAGGCCUGUGUGUCUGUGUGUGUGUGUGUCUGUGUGUGUAGGCCUGUGUGUGUGUGUAGGCCUGUGUGUGUAUAUGUAUCUGUGUAGGCCUGUGUGUCUGUGUGUGUGUGUGUCUGUGUGUGUAGGCCUGUGUGUGUGUGUAGGCCUGUGUGUGUAUAUGUAUCUGUGUAGGCCUGUGUGUCUGUGUGUGUGUGUGUAUGUGUGUGUGUGUGUGUGUAGGCCUGUGUGUGUUUGUGUAUCUGUGUAGGCGUGUGUAUGUGUGUGUGUGGAGGCCUGUGUGUAUGUGUAGGCGCGUGUGUGUGUAUGUGUAGGCCUGUGUGUGUGUCUGUGUCUGUGUAGGCCUGUGUGUGUGUGUAGGUGUGUGUGUGUGUAGGCCUGUGUGUGUGUGUGUAGGCGUGUGUGUGUGUAGGCGUGUGUGUGUAGGCGUGUGUGUGAGUGUGAGCAUGUAGGCCUGUGUGUGUGUCUGUGUAGGCCUGUGUGUAUGUGUGUGUGUGUGUGUCUGUGUAGGCCUGUGUGUAUAUCUGUGUAGGCCUGUGUGUGUGUGUGUGUAGGCCUGUGUGUAUGUGUAGGCCUGUGUGUGUCUGUGUAGGCCUGUGUGUGUGUGUGUCUGUGUAGGCGUGUGUGUCUGUGUAGGCCUGUGUGCCUGUGUGUGUGUGUGUAGGUGUGUGUGUCUGUGUAG